UACGUAGGCAGCGAGCGUUGUUCGGAGUUACUGGGCGUAAAGCGUGCGUAGGCGGUGUCUUAAGUUUGUUGUGAAAUCUCCCGGCUUAACCGGGAGGGUGCGGCGAAUACUGAGAUGCUGGAGUGCCGGAGAGGUAAGCGGAAUUCCUGGUGUAGCGGUGAAAUGCGUAGAUAUCAGGAGGAACACCUGUGGCGAAAGCGGCGCACUGGACCAUAACUGACGCUGAGGCGCGAAAGCUAGGGGAGCAAACAGG
rnacentral:rRNA from 1 species